UACGGAGGGUGCAAACGUUGCUCGGAAUUAUUGGGCGUAAAGCGCACGUAGGCGGCCGAUUAAGUCGGGUGUGAAAGCCCUGGGCUCAACCCAGGAAGUGCACUCGAAACUAGUCGGCUUGAAUAUGGAAGAGGGUCGCGGAAUUCCCGGUGUAGAGGUGAAAUUCGUAGAUAUCGGGAGGAACACCAGUGGCGAAGGCGGCGACCUGGGCCAAUAUUGACGCUGAGGUGCGAAAGCGUGGGGAGCAAACAGG
rnacentral:rRNA from 1 species